GGACGAGAGCUAAAGAGAAGAAAACACAGACGGAGGAAAUCGCUGUGCGUUAUGAUGUAGAUGAUGAUACAGUGAACUAUGAAAACAUCAGAUCUCCUGAUGGAGUUUGACCAACACUUCUGCCUCCAUCAGACUCCACUGAUCAACUCGUCACCUUUUACUGGACUAGUUCAAGACUGGAAAUAACUAAAAGAAUCAUCAAGGCUUAUUUUAUUUUAGUCUGAUGUAUUUUCCUGCAUCAUUGUAAAAAGCUUUUCUCAUCUCCAGCCAGUUGAGAACAGCAGCUGGAUUUGAACUUCAUUUAACUCUUGUUAACUUCCUGAAAUAGUCUUCCAGCUGCAGAUUUCAGAGCUGAUUUUAAGAUGUACUGCUGGUUGUUGAAGCUCCAGCAGCUUGAGCUCAGUUUGAUGUCUCUGUGUGCAGAAGAACUCAUUUAAAUUUUCAUUUAGCAAUGCUUUGUGUG